UACAGAGGGUGCGAGCGUUAAUCGGAAUUACUGGGCGUAAAGAGCUCGUAGGCGGUUUGUCGCGUCUGCUGUGAAAACUCGGGGCUUAACCCCGGGCCUGCAGUGGGUACGGGCAGACUAGAGUGCGGUAGGGGAGACUGGAAUUCCUGGUGUAGCGGUGAAAUGCGCAGAUAUCAGGAGGAACACCGGUGGCGAAGGCGGGUCUCUGGGCCGUAACUGACGCUGAGGAGCGAAAGCGUGGGGAGCGAACAGG
rnacentral:rRNA from 1 species